rnacentral:ncRNA from 1 species
CCCGCUGAACUUAAGCAUAUCAAUAAGCGGAGGAAAAGAAACCAACCGGGAUUGCCUCAGUAACGGCGAGUGAAGCGGCAAGAGCUCAAAUUUGAAAGCUGGCUCCUUCGGAGUCCGCAUUGUAAUUUGCAGAGGAUGCUUUGGGUGCGGCCCCCGUCUAAGUGCCCUGGAACGGGCCGUCAGAGAGGGUGAGAAUCCCGUCUUGGGCGGGGUGUCCGUGCCCGUGUAAAGCUCCUUCGACGAGUCGAGUUGUUUGGGAAUGCAGCUCUAAAUGGGUGGUAAAUUUCAUCUAAAGCUAAAUACUGGCCGGAGACCGAUAGCGCACAAGUAGAGUGAUCGAAAGAUGAAAAGCACUUUGAAAAGAGAGUUAAACAGCACGUGAAAUUGUUGAAAGGGAAGCGCUUGCGACCAGACUCGCCCGCGGGGUUCAGCCGGCAUUCGUGCCGGUGUACUUCCCCGUGGGCGGGCCAGCGUCGGUUUGGGCGGCCGGUCAAAGGCCCCUGGAAUGUAGUACCCUCCGGGGUACCUUAUAGCCAGGGGUGCAAUGCGGCCAGCCUGGACCGAGGAACGCGCUUCGGCACGGACGCUGGCAUAAUGGUCGUAAACGACCCGUCUUGAAACACGGACCAAGGAGUCUAACAUCUACGCGAGUGUUCGGGUGUCAAACCCGUGCGCGCAGUGAAAGCGAACGGAGGUGGGAGCCCCCUCGCGGGGCGCACCAUCGACCGAUCCUGAUGUCUUCGGAUGGAUUUNNNNNNNNNNNNNNNNNNNNGGGGACUUAGGCGUUUCUGUCCACGCUCGCUGCCCGUUACGCGGCCAUACGCUCCGACGUUACGCCCGUUGUGCUCGCUCUCGCAAACCGCUGUCGGCCGCCCACGCCGCCACCACCCACUCCUGU